rnacentral:rRNA from 1 species
CGGGUAGGCGGUUAAGUGUGUCUGGUGUGAAAGACUCCGGCGCAACCGGAGGACCGCUCUGGAAACUGCGUAACUAGAGUGAUGGAGGGGGAGCGGGAAUUCCUGGUGUAGGGGGGAAAUCUGUAGAGAUCAGGAAGAACACCGGAGGCGAAGGCGAGCUCCUGGCCAUAUACUGACGCUGAGGCGCGAAAGCGUGGGGAGCGAACAGGAUUAGAUACCCUGGUAGUCC